rnacentral:rRNA from 1 species
UACGUAGGCAGCGAGCGUUUGUUCGGAAUUACUGGGGCGUAAAGAGUGUGUAGGCGGUGCUCUAAGUUCGGUGUGAAAUCUCCUGGCUCAACUGGGAGGGUGCGCCGGAAACUGGAGUGCUUGAGCGUGGGAGAGGAAAGCGGAAUUCCUGGUGUAGCGGUGAAAUGCGUAGAUAUCAGGAGGAACACCUGUGGUGUAGACGGCUUUCUGGACCAUAGCUGACGCUGAGACACGAAAGCGUGGGUAGCAAACAGG